rnacentral:rRNA from 1 species
GGGCCCGCACAAGCGGUGGAGUAUGUGGUUUAAUUCGAUGCAACGCGAAGAACCUUACCAGGGUUUGACAUCCUGCGAAUCUCUUGGAAACAGGAGAGUGCCUUCGGGAACGCAGUGACAGGUGGUGCAUGGCUGUCGUCAGCUCGUGUCGUGAGAUGUUGGGUUAAGUCCCGCAACGAGCGCAACCCACGUCUUUAGUUGCCAGCAGUUCGGCUGGGCACUCUAUGGAAACUGCCCGUGAUAAGCGGGAGGAAGGUGUGGAUGACGUCAAGUCCUCAUGGCCCUUACGGGUUGGGCUACACACGUGCUACAAUGGCAGUGACAAUGGGU